UACGGAGGGUGCAAGCGUUAUCCGGAUUCACUGGGGUUAAAGGGUGCGUAGGAGGGCAGGUAAGUCAGGGGUGAAAUCUCCAAGCUUAACUUGGAAACUGCCGUUGAUACUAUCUGUCUUGAAUAUUGUGGAGGUGAGCGGAAUAUGUCAUGUAGCGGUGAAAUGCUUAGAUAUGACAUAGAACACCAAUUGCGAAGGCAGCUCACUACUCAAUCAUUGACUCUGAGGCACGAAAGCGUGGGGAUCAAACAGG
rnacentral:rRNA from 1 species